rnacentral:sRNA from 1 species
AAUCGGCCUACACUGGCACUGGACGUGUCCUUAUGCAGCGAGCCGAGGGGGAUGCGCCACACCAAAAGCGGCAAUGGUGCCGGAAAGGUGAAAAACCACGUAACGCUGGCAGGGCUUGGUAGGGAAACCGAAGAGGCUGGGC